GAAAUACAUGGAUUUCAAGUGCUACAUUUGCACAUCUUAAAAGUGUUUAGAUACCUACUUAAAUUUACAAUUAUUAGAUAGGGUUUAUUAAUUUUAUAUGUUGCGUGCAUGAAAUGUUGCCCAAAUAAUUAUUAAUUUAAUCAUUAUAAGAACUUGGUUGCAACUGGUUGCAGGAGCAAUAGUAUUGCACCCGACUCAGACCGACAGACCCUAACUCGCAAUGGCUUGACCCGAAUCCUUUGAGAUUUUAAAAAAAAUGAAAAAAAGAAAUUAAAAUCAGUAAACCCUAGCAGCCUCUCUUUCCU
rnacentral:lncRNA from 1 species